UACGGAGGGAGCUAGCGUUGUUCGGAAUUACUGGGCGUAAAGCGUGCGUAGGCGGUUAUUCAAGUCAGGGGUGAAAGCCUGGAGCUCAACUCCAGAACUGCCCUUGAAACUAGAUAACUAGAAUCUUGGAGAGGUGAGUGGAAUUCCGAGUGUAGAGGUGAAAUUCGUAGAUAUUCGGAAGAACACCAGUGGCGAAGGCGACUCACUGGACAAGUAUUGACGCUGAGGCACGAAAGCGUGGGGAGCAAACAGG
rnacentral:rRNA from 1 species